CUGCGGGGCCUGGCCGACCUACACCCGGCCCCAGGGUCUGUCUCCUUUGUUUUCUCGAAAUGGAGAGUGGAUUCUGAGCCCCCUUCCUAAGGCUCUUACCAUUUGGAAGUCACUUUGUCCAUCUAAGGAGAAUUUGCAUUUUAACAAGGGGGAUAACCUUGAAGUACCCAAAGGAAUCUCUACGUGUAGAAUUGCUGGCAUAGGCGAGAUAUUCUGGAAGGCAGCGAGACCCCCGUGGAAUGCCUGAAGCCCCCAUUACUCGCGAUAAGGAAAGAAAACCAUUAAACUGAAGGAAGGGCAAAUGGGCCAUUGAGGAAGGUAGGAAGGAAAACCACAUCUUCUUGGGACUUGCAUCAAAUGCUGCGAGAUCAUCCUGGAUCUUCUGCCUAAGGACCCGGAGUUCUGGUCAAAUCUACCCUGUGUCCUGACCCAACUUGUCUAACUCUGCAGUAGAUGCGAGGAGAAAAUGAGUCUACAUCAAAUCUUCACAAGUAGCCCUAGACGAAAGCACGCCAAGGCUGCUGAAGAUGAUUCUUGGCUCUCCACCCUUCCCAUCCCCUCCCCCAACUCCCUUAGCAUCCCCAUCGUCAGGGGCAGGCGCUGACUAGGUUCUGAUUUCCUGUGAGGUGUUCUUCUAUCACCUGUCUAAUGAGAGAAAGGAAGCUGACUUGGUCACAGCCUUCCCAGUACAGAGGAGAGAAUAUUCCAAUCCUCUUUCAUCUCUUCUCCCCAUAUCUCUAGUUCAUGGACAUUGGGCAUAAAGAAAGAGCUUGAAGUCCUAGAGUUUCUCAUCAGGGGCUAAUGAGCAUAUUUCUCUCUGGACCUAACAUGGGAUUCCAGUCAUCACCAAAUAACCAAGGGGAAGCAAGGUUUGCAGUCACCAGCCACAACAGAGGUUUAAACAGGAAUUCCACCCAAAUACCAUCUCCGCAAGCCAACUGUCUCUCUCAUCAUUAUCCCCUUUCCACGACUGCUAACACCCAGCACAGAAAUCCUCCUUGAGUCAGAGGAAAAAGCUGUAACCAGACU